rnacentral:lncRNA from 1 species
GGAGGGUGUGGGGAGGGUACUCAACUGAGCCUGGCAGGAAGGAGUGUGGCCCUGGGCUGGCAGCGGCUGAGUGCCCACGGGGAGAAUGACACAAAAUCAGAGGAAGUCUCUGGUCAGAAAAAUGCAUGGGGCUGGACUCACCGGUCAAAUCGUGCAGGGAAAUCGGUCUUUGGGUUACCCGGGGCCCUCAGCUCAGGAGUCGCUGGUCUUGGCUCUCCCAGCAGACUGCCUGGAACCUCCGGCAUCUGCUCCCUGCUGAGACCCUGUGGUUCCAGGUACAGUAUCCCGGGGUCACUGCCUUUGGUCACCUGCGUGUCACUGCAUCAGCAUGAUGGAGGCUGCCAUCUUCAGUCAGAGCAGCUCGCGGGUCAUCAUGCUGGCCCUGGGGCAGCUGCACAUGGUCACGGCCACGUGGGGAAUGAGCGAGAUGCAGGAAGCCAGAGAGAGGCUGGCUGGAGCCAAGCUCGGGCUCUUCCAACAGCUGUCUUAGGAGAACUGCCCAGGGGCUGUCCAGGAGAGAGCAGCGCCCUCAGGGGACCUGUCGCCCUGCCUGGUCCACAGCGGCAGCACUCUGGGAGGGGGAGCUCUCAGCACGUGGGCCUUUGGGGGACAGAAGCUGGGUUAGCUUCUCCUAUGCUGCUCCCCAGAAGUUCAUGUGUUGAAAACUUCCUCCCCAAUGCAGGUGCUCCUGGCAUUGGAGGCGUGGCAUUUGGGAGGUGUGUGGGGCCCCAGGAGGGCCUCAGCGACUACCAAGAGAGAGGCGGAGCAUUGCAGCCGCGUGCUGGCCCUGCAGCCCGUGGACUCUGCCACGCUGCCACGCAGCACGAGGCCCUCGCCAGACGCCCGCACUGUGUUCCUGCACAUCCCAGCCCCCAGAAGCAGGAGCCACAUCAACUGCUGUUCUUUGUACAUCACCUGCUCUCUGAAAGUUUGCUGACAGCAACAGAAAACAGACCAAAGCAGCCCCUGAAACGUGAGGGCGGGCCUCAGAGCCCAGGGCCCAGUCCAAGCCUCUCCCAGCGACGGGCUUCGGCCGCAGCACCUCUGUCCCG